UUUUGAGAGAAUGAUGAAAGGAGAAAAUGGAUGCUGGCUUUAAGCCACACAAAAGCUAGUUACCAUGGACAGCGCGGGACUCACGUCUAACAAUCCGGCUACCGAAAAUUAUUUGCCUGGAUCCAGUUCUGAUUCAAGGCCCCUGGCUACUCAACCGCCAAGGACAGUGGCCCCACUCCCUCCCUCUAUUCCUGGCCUCUUUAGUCUAAGUACUCA
rnacentral:lncRNA from 1 species